GAAGAUUGAUAUUGGACAUAUGUCCUGUGAACUCGGUCAGGUUCGGAAGAAAGCAGCCGUAACAGUUUCCAUACGGGUCAAUAUUCAAUCUUCCAC
rnacentral:SRP_RNA from 1 species